AACGAACGCUGGCGGCAUGCCUAACACAUGCAAGUCGAACGAUACCUUCGGGUCUAGUGGCGCACGGGUGCGUAACGCGUGGGAACCUGCCUUUAGGUUCGGAAUAACUCAGAGAAAUUUGAGCUAAUACCGGAUGAUGUCUUCGGACCAAAGAUUUAUCGCCUUUAGAUGGGCCCGCGUUGGAUUAGCUAGUUGGUGGGGUAAAGGCCUACCAAGGCGACGAUCCAUAGCUGGUCUGAGAGGAUGAUCAGCCACACUGGGACUGAGACACGGCCCAGACUCCUACGGGAGGCAGCAGUGGGGAAUAUUGGACAAUGGGCGAAAGCCUGAUCCAGCAAUGCCGCGUGAGUGAUGAAGGCCUUAGGGUUGUAAAGCUCUUUUACCCGAGAUGAUAAUGACAGUAUCGGGAGAAUAAGCUCCGGCUAACUCCGUG
rnacentral:rRNA from 1 species